AUCGCUUCUCGGCCUUUUGGCUAAGAUCAAGUGAAGAAGUUAAUUUUACAUAUAUUUUACAUAUAUAUUCAAUCUCA
ensembl:snRNA U2 U2 spliceosomal RNA